rnacentral:rRNA from 1 species
UACGAAGGGUGCUAGCGUUGUUCGGAUUUACUGGGCGUAAAGCGUGCGUAGGUGGCUUUACAAGUCAGGGGUGAAAUCCUGGGGCUCAACCCCAGAAUUGCCUUUGAAACUGCAAAGCUAGAGUAUCGGAGGGGAUAGCGGAAUUGCUAAUGUAGAGGUGAAAUUCGUAGAUAUUAGCAGGAACACCGGUGGCGAAGGCGGCUAUCUGGACGGAUACUGACGCUGAGACGCGAAAGCGUGGGGAGCAAACAGG